GGGAGAUGGCUUACUGAUUCGAGUGCUAUUUCUUUUGAGGCACCAAAACUUUAUUUAUAACAUGUACAAGAGUCAAUGAUAUUUUCCCAUCAUAUCUUCAACCCAGGAAGCAGAAUUCACAUACAAGAAAUGCACACACUAUAAGGCAUAUACAUAUAAUGUACAGCAUGCCCAAUUAUAGGAAUGUGUGACUUUGGGAAGCCCUGCAGGAGGGGUGGGCGAUGGGGGAAUCCACUCUCCACUUACCAAGCGCUUAUACUAGACAACCAUUAACCAGUUAGAAAAUACAGUGAGAAAGAAAUAUUAAUAAUAUGUAAUAUCUGAAAAAUAAACUAAACAAGCAAUGUUCAUGAAGAGGAAAAAAAAACAAUACUACCAAGGAACAUAACAGAUGACUCCAACAAAAGGAAAGGCAUUAUUUGGAUCUUGGAUAGAAUACUCCAAAUUGCAAAAUUAUUUCAUUUUUCCAAAUAAAUAAUAUUUUUUUUGCAAUUCC
rnacentral:lncRNA from 1 species